rnacentral:rRNA from 1 species
AAAUUGAAGAGUUUGAUCAUGGCUCAGAUUGAACGCUGGCGGCAGGCCUAACACAUGCAAGUCGAACGGUAACAGGAAGAAGCUUGCUUCUUCGCUGACGAGUGGCGGACGGGUGAGUAAUGUCUGGGAAACUGCCUGAUGGAGGGGGAUAACUACUGGAAACGGUAGCUAAUACCGCAUAACGUCGCAAGACCAAAGAGG